rnacentral:sRNA from 1 species
AUGGCAUCACCAGAAACCAAGAAGAUGGUAAGGCCUGGAGGUGGCAGAGCUGAAGAGAGUACAUGACCCAGCAGAAGAAAUAAGCACAAAUACAAAUGGUGACAGAAAAAUAAGAUGUGUCACAAUUGACUUAGAUUCCAACAACCACAACAGCACAGAGGAGGAAGCGAGGUGGUGCUCCCUGGAAUGACCCAAACACAACAAUAUCUGAGCUUGCUCUUGAAGGACUAGCAGUUUACCAAGCAAAAUGGAAAACAGAAAUUGAGUCCAGGUCUAGAUAUCAAGAAGCACAAAGAGAUCCAGAAAAGACCAUGGAGAAUUCAAAGACCAGCAACAGGCUUCAAAAGCCUUCUAUGAAUAGGGCAUGUAAGGAUUUGUUGGGGGCAAGGGUGGGUUUGAGAGCUGGAGAUGAAAUUAGUGAACACCAUGCCUCUCUCUUGUAUUAAAGAGGCCGCAGGGAAGACAAAGCUCAGUUGUAUUCAACAAAGGCCACUCAGGUAGCACCAUAAAGGAAGAGCUGUAACACGGACACGGGAGUAGUGGAAUCAGUCAAGAGGGAAUUUCAAAGGUCAAAGAUGAAAGGCUGGCUGGGCGUGGUGGCUCACCCUUGUAAUCCCAGCACUUUGGGAGGCCGAGGUGGGCGGAUCACGGGGUCAGGAGAUAGAGACCAUCCUGGCCAACAAGGUGAAACCGCAUCUCUACUAAAAUACAAAAAAUUAGCCGGGCAUGGUGGUGCGAGCCUAUAGUUCCAGCUACUCCGGAGGCUGAGGCAGGGGAAUCUCUUGAACCCAGGAGGCAGAGCUUGCAGUGAGCCAAGAUCGCGCCACUGCACUCAAGUCUGGCGACAGAGGGAAAGUCCAUCUCAAAAAAAAAAAAAAAAAAA